CGGACGGGUGAGUAACGCGUGGGCAACCUGCCUUACACAGGGGGAUAACAAUUAGAAAUGAUUGCUAAUACCGCAUAAGACCCCAGUACCGCAUGGUACAGAGGUAAAAACUGAGGUGGUGUAAGAUGGGCCCGCGUCUGAUUAGGUAGUUGGUGGGGUAGAAGCCUACCAAGCCGACGAUCAGUAGCCGACCUGAGAGGGCGACCGGCCACAUUGGGACUGAGACACGGCCCAAACUCCUACGGGAGGCAGCAGUGGGGAAUAUUGCACAAUGGGGGAAACCCUGAUGCAGCGACGCCGCGUGAGUGAGGAAGUAUUUCGGUAUGUAAAGCUCUAUCAGCAGGGAAGAAAAUGACGGUACCUGACUAAGAAGCCCCGGCUAACUACGUGCCAGCAGCCGCGGUAAUACGUAGGGGGCAAGCGUUAUCCGGAUUUACUGGGUGUAAAGGGAGCGUAGACGGAUAAGCAAGUCUGAUGUGAAAAUCCGGGGCCCAACCCCGGAAUUGCAUUGGAAACUGCAUAUCUAGAGUGUCGGAGAGGCAAGUGGAAUUCCUGGUGUAGCGGUGAAAUGCGUAGAUAUCAGGGGGAACACCAGUGGCGAAGGCGGCUUGCUGGACGAUGACUGACGUUGAGGCUCGAAAGCGUGGGGAGCAAACAGGAUUAGAUACCCUGGUAGUCCACGCCGUAAACGAUGACUACUAGGUGUCGGGAGGCAAAGCCUUUCGGUGCCGCAGCCAACGCAAUAAGUAGUCCACCUGGGGAGUACGUUCGCAAGAAUGAAACUCAAAG
rnacentral:rRNA from 1 species